GCCCCUCAGGCCUACUCAGGCCUACUGAUUGAGCUAGACUGGGGUGGUGCUGGUGAAAUAACCACUCCCCAAUUCAUGGAUUCAAGGACUGUAGUCCAUGAGAUCAAAAUUAUGGUUUUACAUUUAUUUGAAUUUAUAGGCUACACUCUUAGAAAAAAAGGUUGUUUGCCUCAUAUUCUGACACCCCUAAAGGUUCUAUAUAGAACCGAAAUUGGUUCCAUAUAGAAUCCUAUAUGAAAGUCAAGGGUUCUAAAUGGAACCAAUUUUGGUUCAGUGAAGAAGAACCCUUGGGGUUCUGAUCAAAGAACCCUACAAAACGGUUCUAUAUAUAGUACCCUUAGGCAUGCCAUAUAUGAAGCAAAUAUAGAACCCCUUUUGGUUCUAUCCAGAAUCUUAUUUUCUAAGAGAAUAGGUGACUCCAUUAAAUUGGAUAAAACAGACCAUUUUACAGGUUAAUUUACAGCCCAUAACAUAUAGAUCUAUCAUUCAAUAAUCAUAUCAUUAUUUGAAAUGACCAUUACAGCUGUAAAUAGCCUCUACAGACACAAAAUGGUGUCUUGACAGAUGUAGGUUUACAGAUGUAGAUAAAAAAAAUAAAAAUAAAUAAAUCGUUAAAUAAAUAUAAAUAAAUAAAUAUAAUUCCAUGUAUAUAGGCUAGGCUAUAUAGCCAGACUAAAAUUAGCCAACGAAUUUUCCUUCAAACAUUGUUUUGGAAUAUGGGACAUGCAUCAGUGGUUUAUACUUAUCAUGCCAGGCUUACAUUCGAUACCAACUACGCAAUACAAAUAAUUAUUAUUUACUUCAUAGUUAAUCUGAGCAGGAUUUUGCUUCUUUUUCUAAUUCUGUUGAAAAUGGGGUUGGUAGCCUCCGAGUCUCAGCACCAUGUGACGGACAGCAGCCAUCCAUGAUCUAUCUGUAUAAGAUGCUAUUUAGUUGAAGUAAAAUGCUCUUGAUUAUUUACAAUUUUAAUGGUGUCAAUAUCGGACGGAAGCCAAAUAGAUAUUUUCACACGGUGAACGACAUUCUAUUCUAUUCGAUAGGUAUUAUAUCUACUAUAUGUGUGUUGAUUACUCUAAAUUACAAAUUGACCAAUCGCUAUUUGGC
ensembl:lncRNA